rnacentral:rRNA from 1 species
GAUGAACGCUGGCGGCGUGCUUAACACAUGCAAGUCGAACGUGAGAGGAUAGCAAUAUUCUUGAAAGUGGCGCACGGGUGAGUAAUACGUAGGUAACCUGCCCUGGAGUGGGGGAUAACAACUAGAAAUGGUUGCUAAUACCGCAUGAAGCCAAGACACUGGGAAGUGACUUGGUAAAAAACUCUGGUGCUUCAGGAGGGCCUACGGCCGAUUAGCUAGUUGGCGGGGUAAGAGCCCACCAAGGCAGUGAUCGGUAGCUGGUCUGAGAGGACGAUCAGCCACACGGGAACUGAGACACGGUCCCGACUCCUACGGGGGGCGAGCAGUGA